GGCCAAAUGCUAUAGCCUACGGUUUUGGGGGUUGGCCCAUGGUUCGGGUGUGUCGUGGGUCAAAAAUUGAUUGGGGCAUUUCAGAGAGGUUGGGGAUUAUCCCAGUGUGGUCCUUUGGGUGGUCGGGGCCAUUUGGGUGGUCAAACAGGUAAAUCGGUGCAAAUGAGGCAUUUUUAGGCCAAAUCAGUGUGCAAUAGCCCACAGUUUCAGGGGUUAGGGCGUGAUAUUAGCCGAAAAUUGAUUGGGGCAUGAUUGGGUGAAUGAGGAUCAUUCCUGUGUGGUUCUUUUGGGUGGGCGAGGCUAUUUGGGGGGUAAAAUGGACGAAAUGAUACAAAUGGGGCAUUUUCAGGUUAAAUCGGUGUUCUAUAGCCCACGGUUUUGAGGGUGCGCCGGGUGUUCGGGCGUGUUGUGGGUUAAAAAUUAAUUGAGGAAUGUCAGGGAGGCUGGAGAUCAUCCAAGUAUGGUGGGUUUAGG
rnacentral:lncRNA from 1 species